AUUGAACGCUGGCGGCAGGCCUAACACAUGCAAGUCGAACGAGUGGCGGACGGGUGAGUAAUGUCUGGGAAACUGCCCGAUGGAGGGGGAUAACUACUGGAAACGGUAGCUAAUACCGCCUACCAUCCGAUUUGCCCAUAUGGGAUUAGCUAGUAGGUGGGGUAAUGGCUCACCUAGGCGACGAUCCCUAGCUGGUCUGAGAGGAUGACCAGCCACACUGGAACUGAGACACGGUCCAGACUCCUAGGGGGGGCAGCGGUGGGGAAUAUUGCACAAUGGGCGCAAGCCUGAUGCAGCCAUGCCGCGUGUAGGAAGAAGGCCUUCGGGUUGUAAAGUACUUUCAGCGGGGAGGCGGUACCCGCAGAAGAAGCACCGGCUAACUCCGUGCCAGCAGCCGCGGUAAUAC
rnacentral:rRNA from 1 species